rnacentral:lncRNA from 1 species
ACCACGCUCUCACUAGGCUAUCACCUCUGUGGUCCGGUCUUGCACAUUUCGUAAUGCAGUAGCAGGGCUUGUCUUCUUCAUGAUAUUUUUUUUUCUUUUUUAAAAAAACUUUGGUUGAAGAACACUUUCUUAGACUUUGCAUGAGGUAAGAAAUCGAAAAAUUUCCUUAAAUUGAAGAAGAAAAACCCAUCUAAUGACAUGAGUGUGGAAUAGAAAUGACGUUGGGCAUGAUGGGUGAAAAAACAAACAAGUUAUUUUCGGUCAAAAAGAGAGGCUACUUGAGCCAUUUAGAUGUACCAAACAUUUAGCAUGCAUGGGCCGAUGAGCGUCACAUUUUUUCUGGCAUUAAUGGAGAUCUAGAAUGCGACUGCUACUUUAAAUUUAAAAAUUCAAUGUUUCAGGAUUCGUCCCACCGACUCAAAC